rnacentral:misc_RNA from 2 species
AGCAGCCGCGGUAAUUCCAGCUCCAAUAGCGUAUAUUAAAGUUGUUGCAGUUAAAAGCUCGUAGUUGAAUUUCGGGAUCAAUAUAUCGGUCGUGCCUUGGUACGUACUGGUAUCAUUGGUUUCUCCUUUCCGACGAACCAUGAUGUCAUUAAUUUGGUGUUAUGGGAAGUUAGGACUGUUACUUUGAAAAAUUAGAGUGUUUGAAGCAGGCUAACGCUUGAAUACAUUAGCAUGGAAUAAUGAAAUAGGACGUUUGAUCCUAUUUUGUUGGUUUCUAGGAUCGACGUAAUGAUUAAUAGGGAUAGUUGGGGGCAUUAGUAUUCAAUUGUCAGAGGUGAAAUUCUUGGAUUUAUUGAAGACUAACUACUGCGAAAGCAUUUGCCAAGGAUGUUUUCAUUAAUCAAGAACGAAAGUUAGGGAUCGAAGACGAUCAGAUACCGUCGUAGUCUUAACCAUAAACUAUGCCGACUAGGGAUCGGAUGAUGUUAAUUUUUAAUGACUCAUUCGGCGCCUUAAC